GAUGAACGCUGGCGGCGUGCUUAACACAUGCAAGUCGAACGGUGAACGAGGGAGCUUGCUCCCUCCGGAUCAGUGGCGAACGGGUGAGUAACACGUGAGCAAUCUGCCCUGGACUCUGGGAUAAGCGUUGGAAACGACGUCUAAUACCGGAUACGAGACGCGAAGGCAUCUUCAGCGUCUGGAAGGAACUUCGGUCCAGGAUGAGCUCGCGGCCUAUCAGGUAGUUGGUGAGGUAACGGCUCACCAAGCCUACGACGGGUAGCCGGCCUGAGAGGGUGACCGGCCACACUGGGACUGAGACACGGCCCAGACUCCUACGGGAGGCAGCAGUGGGGAAUAUUGCACAAUGGGCGCAAGCCUGAUGCAGCAACGCCGCGUGAGGGACGACGGCCUUCGGGUUGUAAACCUCUUUUAGCAGGGAAGAGGCGAAAGUGACGGUACCUGCAGAAAAAGCACCGGCUAACUACGUGCCAGCAGCCGCCGUAAAAC
rnacentral:rRNA from 1 species